rnacentral:rRNA from 1 species
GAUGAACGCUGGCGGCGUGCCUAAUACAUGCAAGUCGAGCGAACAGAUGAGAAGCUUGCUUCUCUGAUGUUAGCGGCGGACGGGUGAGUAACACGUGGGUAACCUACCUAUAAGACUGGGAUAACUCCGGGAAACCGGGGCUAAUACCGGAUAAUAUUUUGAACCGCAUGGUUCAAUAGUGAAAGACGGUUUCGGCUGUCACUUAUAGGUGGACCCGCGCCGUAUUAGCUAGUUGGUAAGGUAACGGCUUACCAAGGCGACGAUACGUAGCCGGCCAGGGAGGGUGAUCGGCCACAGUGAAACUGAGAACCGGUCCAGACUCCUACGGGAGGCAGCAGUAGGGAAUCUCCCGAAAUGGGCGAAGGCCUGACGGGGCAACGCGGCGUGAGUGAUGAAGGUUUUCGGAUCGUAAAACUCUGUUGUUAGGGAAGAACAAAUUUGUUAGUAACUGAACAAGUCUUGACGGUACCUAACCAGAAAGCCACGGCUAACUACGUGCCACCCGCCGCGGUAA